GACGAACCGUGCGAACGUUGUUCGGAUUCACUGGGCUUAAAGGGCGCGUAGGCGGUCGACCAAGUCUGGGGUGAAAUCUUUCGGCUUAACCGGAAAAGUGCCCCCGAUACUGGCCGGCUAGAGGGAGAUAGGGGCAUGUGGAACUUCCGGUGGAGCGGUGAAAUGCGUAGAGAUCCGGAAGAACACCGGAGGCGAAGGCGGCUUGCUGGGCUUGGUCUGACGCUGAGGCGCGAAAGCGUGGGGAGCGAACAGG
rnacentral:rRNA from 1 species